rnacentral:rRNA from 1 species
CCCUUAGAUGUCCUGGGCCGCACGCGUGCUGCACUGACGCAUACAGCGAGCACUUUCCAGUUCCGAGAGGCUACUGGUAAUCAUCAAUAUGCGUCGUGAUGGGGAUAGAUCUUUGGAAUUCUGGAUCUUGAACGAGGAAUGCCUAGUAAUCGCAGGUCAUUAGCCUGCGAUGAUUAAGUCCCUGCCCUUUGUACACACCGCCCGUCGCUACUACCGAUUUCGAGUGGUCAGGUGAAUCUUUCGGACUGUGGGCGCCCUUGAGGUGUUCGCGGAAAGUCAGGUAAAUCUUAUCACUUAGAGGAAGUAAAAGUCGUAACA